rnacentral:pre_miRNA from 1 species
GUUCGAUUAUUUGCAGUCAGUAACAGGGAUUCAUCCUUGUGUCCAUCACAUAGCAAGGGGAAUCUUUGUCACUCACUGUAAGUAAUAGCCUU